AUUGAACGCUGGCGGCAGGCUUAAUACAUGCAAGUCGAACGAGUGGCGGACGGGGGAGUAAUGCUUGGGAAUCUAGCCUAUGGAGGGGGAUAACUACGGGAAACUGUAGCUAAUACCUCGUACUAUAGGAUGCGCCCAAGUGGGAUUAGGUAGUUGGUGGGGUAAAGGCUAACCAAUCCUGCGAUCCCUAGCUGGUCUGAGAGGGUGACCAGCAACACUGGGACGGAGAAACGGCCAGGAGUCCUACGGGAGGAAGCAGUGGGGAAUAUGGCGCAAUGGGGGCAACCUGACGCGGCCAUGCCGCGUGGAUGAAGAAGGCCUUCGGGUUGUAAAGUUCUUUCGGUAGCGAGGCGUUAACUACAGAAGAAGCACCGGCUAACUCCGUGCCAGCCGCCGCGGUAAUUC
rnacentral:rRNA from 1 species